UACGAAGGGGGCGAGCGUUGUUCGGCAUUACUGGGCGUAAAGGGCGCGUAGGCGGCGACUCAAGUUAGAUGUGAAAGUCCUGGGCUUAACCUGGGGACUGCAUUUGAUACUGGGUUGCUUGAAUUCGGGAGAGGAUAGCGGAAUUCCCAGUGUAGAGGUGAAAUUCGUAGAUAUUGGGAAGAACACCGGUGGCGAAGGCGGCUAUCUGGACCGACAUUGACGCUGAGGCGCGAAAGCGUGGGGAGCAAACAGG
rnacentral:rRNA from 1 species